UUCUGACCUUUUUAUAUGUAGCGAAUUUUGGUGGUAACUCUAAAGCAAGCAUUUCAUCUGAAUCUAGCUAUACUGCACCAUAUAUUCCAGAGGUGUAUUUGUUGUUGUUGUUGAUGGUGGUACUGUUUUCCGGUGUCCUGGCGAAAAUAAACAUUAUAAAA